GNGAGUGAUGAANNNUUUCGGAUCGUAAAGNUCUGUUNNAGGGNAANGNNNNAAGUACCNGUUCGAAUNAGGGNNNGUACCUUGACGGUACCUANCCANNAAANCCACGGGCUNAACUACGUGCCAGCAGNCCGCGGGUAAUACGUAGGUGGCAAGCGUUGUCCGGGAAUUAUUGGGCGUAAAGGGCUCGCAGGCGGUUUCUUAAGUCUGAUGUGAAAGCCCCCCGGCUCAACCGGGGAGGGUCAUUGGAAACUGGGGAACUUGAGUGCAGAAGAGGAGAGUGGAAUUCCACGUGUAGCGGUGAAAUGCGUAGAGAUGUGGAGGAACACCAGUGGCGAAGGCGACUCUCUGGUCUGUAACUGACGCUGAGGAGCGAAAGCGUGGGGAGCGAACAGGAUUAGAUACCCUGGUAGUCCACGCCGUAAACGAUGAGUGCUAAGUGUUAGGGGGUUUCCGCCCCUUAGUGCUGCAGCUAACGCAUUAAGCACUCCGCCUGGGGAGUACGGUCGCAAGACUGAAACUCAAAGGAAUUGACGGGGGCCCGCACAAGCGGUGGAGCAUGUGGUUUAAUUCGAAGCAACGCGAAGAACCUUACCAGGUCUUGACAUCCUCUGACAAUCCUAGAGAUAGGACGUCCCCUUCGGGGGCAGAGUGACAGGUGGUGCAUGGUUGUCGUCAGCUCGUGUCGUGAGAUGUUGGGUUAAGUCCCGCAACGAGCGCAACCCUUGAUCUUAGUUGCCAGCAUUCAGUUGGGCACUCUAAGGUGACUGCCGGUGACAAACCGGAGGAAGGUGGGGAUGACGUCAAAUCAUCAUGCCCCUUAUGACCUGGGCUACACACGUGCUACAAUGGACAGAACAAAGGGCAGCGAAACCGCGAGGUUAAGCCAAUCCCACAAAUCUGUUCUCAGUUCGGAUCGCAGUCUGCAACUCGACUGCGUGAAGCUGGAAUCGCUAGUAAUCGCGGAUC
rnacentral:rRNA from 1 species